UUUUUUGCUGCAUAGAUUACAACGGUGAUGGCGGGCAAGCGGUCCGGCUGGAGCCGGGCGGCUCUCCUCCAGCUCCUUCUCGGCGUGAACCUGGUGGUGAUGCCGCCCACCCAGGCCCGGAGUCUGCGCUUCGUUACCUUGCUGUACCGCCAUGGAGACCGUUCACCAGUGAAGACAUAUCCCAAGGACCCCUAUCAGGAAGAAGAAUGGCCCCAGGGGUUUGGUCAGUUAACCAAGGAGGGGAUGCUACAGCACUGGGAGCUGGGCCAGGCCCUGCGGCAGCGCUAUCAUGGCUUCCUAAACACCUCUUAUCACCGGCAAGAGGUUUAUGUGCGAAGCACAGACUUUGACCGGACUCUCAUGAGUGCUGAGGCCAACCUGGCUGGACUCUUCCCUCCCAACGGGAUGCAGCGCUUCAACCCGAACAUCUCGUGGCAGCCUAUCCCUGUGCACACUGUGCCCAUCACUGAGGACAGGGUGAGAGUGGCCAGCCCUUCCCUGGGGUGGUGAGGUGACAGCUCUGGCCGUGGGCCUGCUGAUGGCAGGCUCCUUUUCCUGCUGCCUGUUUCCCCGCUUUGCUCUACAGCUGCUGAAGUUCCCGCUGGGCCCAUGCCCCCGUUAUGAGCAGCUGCAGAACGAG
rnacentral:sRNA from 1 species